rfam:Pseudozyma flocculosa PF-1 unplaced genomic scaffold scaffold00002, whole genome shotgun sequence.
CACCACCCACAGAGGCACAGGCGCUUCAUCCCGUGAGGUUUUUACCGAGGAGAAGCUUACUGCUGAUUGCAAAUUACCUAUAGUUUGCGUCCUUGUUGUCUUUACGACGACUUGGCAAUUUUUGAACACCACCAAGG